rnacentral:rRNA from 1 species
CGGAGCACGUUUGGAAUCUACCUUUUCUUGGGGGAUAGCCCGCCGAAAGGCGGAUUAAUACCGCAUAUGCCGAUAGUCUGGCAUCAGACAGUCGGGAAAGGCUUCGGCCGAGAAGAGAUGACCAUGCGGCUGAUUAGCUAGUUGGCGGGGUAGUAGCCCACCAAGGCGACGAUCAGUAGGGGACCUGAGAGGGCGAUCCCCCACACGGGCACUGAGAUACGGGCCCG